GACGCGCAUUGUUUUUAGUUGAAUGGAAGGAAAUGGAUCGGGGCUACAGCAGAAAAGAUGAAACUUAAAAGCUCCAGUGGGAAUUUACUGUCUUACAUUAGACCUGGAACCUAGGAAAGCAUCGGAAAGACCUCUGUCUGUGAAUGGGUACAAGAAAUAGUGAAAGAGGAAAGGAUGCUCCUUGAAGGGACUGACUUCAAAAGAAGUGGUUCUUAUGAAGCACAAGAAAGUUUUCAGUACUGUACUGUGCUGUCUUUUGGUUGACAGCUAACAAAGAAACUCAGCCCCCUUCCUUCCCCCACCCCCACCUUUUGUGUUACACUUCCUUUAUUUAGUUUCUGAAGAUGUAUUUUUGUAAUAUCUUGUUCUUCAGACUGAUUGAUGGAAGAACAGAGAAUUAGAAAUCUAGUUCAGAUAGCCUGCACAACCACAUUGGGAUGGAGCACAGUUCUUGGCAAAUAGAUGUUUGUUGACUGAUUGGAGACACUUAAGAUCUUCUAGGGGACUUUUCAGAUGUUUAAAGGAACCUUGGGAGGAAGGGAGAACAAAGGGUGUCAUUUUUCCUGGAAUUCAUGUGAAGGACUAUUGCCAGUGAAUACGGAGUGUAAAUGAGGAUAUAGAAUGAGGAGAUUAGGUCCAGUCAGGACAGGAACAUAAAGCUUCAGGGGGUUGGACCAAAUAACUUUGGGAGUGAGAGGUCCAGUGUCUGCAGAAGGAGAGGCAGGCUGAUCUCCCUUUCCUCCUUCUUCCAGUCUGUGAACAGGAACUUGCAGCAGAGUUAAGGUGAAGUAAUAGUUAACCGAAGAGCCAGGAAGGAAGUUACAACUGUGCCCAGGAACUUUUAUGGGAAAUGCUUUGGGAUCUAAACAGUGGAACCAUCAUCACAUGAUGGAAGCCAGAAUGGAUGUUCUACUUGUAGUCAUAACUGCUGUGCCGCUCAUCUUGGGACAAGAAUAUGAGGAAGAACAAAUAUAUGAAGAAAUAUAUGAAGAUUAUCAGGUGGUCUAUUAUACAGUCACUCCAUAUUAUGAUGACUUAGUCAACUUUACCUUUGACUAUUCCCAAUUUGAGGAGGAGGAUAGAAUGAACAUUGAGAAAGAAACUAUAACUGAAGCAGGAGACAGGAAGGUUAAUCCUGAGAAAAAACUUCCAGACAAUGGCAUACAGAAGACAACAGAACAAGCCAGUACUCUGUCCACUACACCACAUGAGAGAUUAUACACAAAGAAGAACUGGGGCCAAGAAGGAAAAGAAGAUGGUCCCAGAGACAGAGAAGGAUCUACCACAGAGGCACCUUCAGCUAUGGAUGUUGCUGUGCCCACUCUGCAGCAUCACCUCCCACUCCUCCUUCUGCCCUGGGUUCUGCUGAGGUGGAUAUUGCUACUUUAGAAGGUGAGAGGUCAGGAUAAUUAUGCUCAACCACCUGCUUGGGAGAAAACAGGGUAGGUUAAAAUAGCUCUUCCAAUGUUCUCAACAUCUCUAGGGAGGGGAUGGGAAUGUGUUUGGGGAGGACUGGGGACUAGGGGAGAAGGGGUGAAUGGGAGGAGUGGGCUAACAACAGGAGAGACUGUGUUUAGAAAAUAGGAAAAAUUUCUUGUUUCAAGGAGAUAGUCCUGGGAGUGUCAUGAAAUAAAACUUAAAAUGGGGCCUCA
ensembl:lncRNA